rnacentral:rRNA from 1 species
UACAGAGGGGGCAAGCGUUGUUCGGAAUUACUGGGCGUAAAGGGCGCGUAGGCGGCCUGCUAAGUCGAACGUGAAAUCCCCGAGCUCAACUCGGGAACUGCGUCCGAUACUGACAGGCUUGAAUCCGGGAGAGGGAUGCGGAAUUCCAGGUGUAGCGGUGAAAUGCGUAGAUAUGCGGAGGAACACCGAUGGCGAAGGCAAUCCCCUGGGCCUGCACUGACGCUCAUGCACGAAAGCGUGGGGAGCAAACAGG